CCUACGGGAGGCAGCAGUGGGGAAUUUUGGACAAUGGGCGCAAGCCUGAUCCAGCAAUGCCGCGUGAGUGAAGAAGGCCUUCGGGUUGUAAAGCUCUUUUGUCAGGGAAGAAACGGCUGAGGCUAAUACCUUCGGCUAAUGACGGUACCUGAAGAAUAAGCACCGGCUAACUACGUGCCAGCAGCCGCGGUAAUACGUAGGGUGCAAGCGUUAAUCGGAAUUACUGGGCGUAAAGCGUGCGCAGGCGGUUUUGUAAGUCUGACGUGAAAUCCCCGGGCUCAACCUGGGAAUUGCGUUGGAGACUGCAAGGCUGGAGUCUGGCAGAGGGGGGUAGAAUUCCACGUGUAGCAGUGAAAUGCGUAGAGAUGUGGAGGAACACCGAUGGCGAAGGCAGCCCCCUGGGUCAAGACUGACGCUCAUGCACGAAAGCGUGGGGAGCAAACAGGAUUAGAUACCCUGGUAGUCCACGCCCUAAACGAUGUCUACUAGUUGUCGGGUCUUAAUUGACUUGGUAACGCAGCUAACGCGUGAAGUAGAUCGCCUGGGGAGUCGGUCGCAGNUUAAAACGUCAAAGGAUUGACGGCUGAGACCGNGCGAGCGACGACGAGGGAGGAGG
rnacentral:rRNA from 1 species